AGGACGAACGCUGGCGGCACGCUUAACACAUGCAAGUCGAACGGAGAUAAUUUGAGUUUACUAGGUUAUCUUAGUGGCGGACGGGUGAGUAACACGUGAGCAACCUGCCUUUGAGAGAGGGAUAGCUUCUGGAAACGGAUGGUAAUACCUCAUAACAUAUCGAAACCGCAUGAUUUUGAUAUCAAAGAUUUAUCACUCAAAGAUGGGCUCGCGUCUGAUUAGAUAGUUGGUGAGGUAACGGCUCACCAAGUCGACGAUCAGUAGCCGGACUGAGAGGUUGAACGGCCACAUUGGGACUGAGACACGGCCCAGACUCCUACGGGAGGCAGCAGUGGGGAAUAUUGCACAAUGGGGGAAACCCUGAUGCAGCGAUGCCGCGUGGAGGAAGAAGGUUUUCGGAUUGUAAACUCCUGUCUUAAAGGACGAUAAUGACGGUACUUUAGGAGGAAGCUCCGGCUAACUACGUGCCAGCAGCUGC
rnacentral:rRNA from 1 species